rnacentral:rRNA from 1 species
CCUACGGGGGGCUGCAGUGGGGAAUAUUGGACAAUGGGCGCAAGCCUGAUCCAGCAAUUCCGCGUGGGUGAAGAAGGUCUUCGGAUUGUAAAGCCCUUUCGUUGGGGACGAUGAUGACGGUACCCAAAGAAGAAGCCCCGGCUAACUUCGUGCCAGCAGCCGCGGUAAUACGAAGGGGGCUAGCGUUGCUCGGAAUGACUGGGCGUAAAGGGCGCGUAGGCGGCGGACACAGUCAGGCGUGAAAUUCCUGGGCUUAACCUGGGGGCUGCGUUUGA